rnacentral:rRNA from 1 species
UACGAAGGGGGCAAGCGUUGUUCGGAAUUACUGGGCGUAAAGGGCGCGUAGGCGGCUUAUCAAGUCAGGCGUGAAAUUCCCGGGCUCAACCUGGGGGCUGCGCUUGAUACUGAUGAGCUUGAAUGCGGGAGAGGAUAGUGGAAUUCCCAGUGUAGAGGUGAAAUUCGUAGAUAUUGGGAAGAACACCGGUGGCGAAGGCGGCUAUCUGGACCGCAACUGACGCUGAGACGCGAAAGCGUGGGGAGCAAACAGGAUUAAAAACCCCAGUAGUCC